GGAGUUUGGACCGUCUCUCAGUUCCAAUGUGGCCGAUCACCCUCUCAGGUCGGCUACCGAUCGUCGACUUGGUGGGCCGUUACCUCACCAACUAUCUAAUCGGACGCGAACUCACCCCAAACCGGAUUGCUCCUUUUACCCCUGCACCAUGCGAUCCCGUGGUCUUAUGCGGUAUUAGCACCUGUUUCCAAGUGUUAUCCCCCUGUCUGGGACAGAUUGUUCACGCGUUACUCACCCGUCCGCCGCUGGAAUAUACCAAAAUCCUGCCGAAGCUCUCAUUCAGCUUAUCCCCGCUCGACUUGCAUGUGUUAAGCACGCCGCCAGCGUUCGUCCUGAGCCACUGAUCAAACUACU
rnacentral:rRNA from 1 species